GCCCUCUCGGCACGAAAGCUCUAGCAGGUCACCCUGUAACCUGCCAUCUGGCCUCAGCGUGGCCUGAGAAAGUCAUCGCUCCCAGCAGGGAUAAAGUUCAUCCUGCCAAGAACCCUCAGGCUCUUGAGGGAGGCGCCCAGCACUCGUUAGCAAGGCCAGAGCCUCUGUCUGGCCUCUGGGAAAGCUGCUCCCGGAGCAUGUGCCCCUCCUCCGCGCAGCUGUGCGCUGGACCGCUGGACGUGCAGGACAGCACAGGAGAGGGCUGUCCUGUCUCCCCAUCACAGAGGGAAAUGCUCUCCAGGCCCCAAGGCCUGGGCUGGGAAGGGAACCACAGUCAGAGCCCUGCUAUCUCAGAAAGCUAGGAAGAGUUUCCUCUCAAAAAUGAUACUGCUGAUUAAAAGGAAUACUUUUAAGGUCACCAAGGACUUUUAUCCAGGCUGGGGGCCGCUAAUGGAGGGGUGGAGUCCUGAUAACCUGAUUCUAAGCCUCUGAAAGGUGCCUGCAAAGUGGCAGACCCUCCAUUACUGCGUGGGGCAGAGGGGUUGUGUGUGAUUUUCUGGGAAGCUAUUUUUUGCAGUGUCUGAAACAGACCAGGUGGCAAGAAAAAAGGAGAGUAGCCUUUUCCCUCACUUAUCCUGUCAGCUUAUUGUCCAUCCACUUGCAGAGUCCCUGGGCAGAACUGAAGCCUUUUCUUCGUUGCGGUAGGGAAGGAAAAAAGGUGCUAAUUGAGAAGGUUCAUAAAUGGAGAACAUAAAUGAGGUAUCAACAUUCUGAAUUUGCGCAUCUUGGUACCCUGGGUUUUCCCUUCUGUUACAAAGCCCAAAUUAUGGGUUGGCUUAGUUUCCCUGCUCUGGGAAUAAGGAAAGGCCUCUGCAAGAUUUGGGAACUGCAGAGAGACAGAGGAAACGGCAAAGGGAAGUUCUUCCAGGGAGACACAGGCACUUGCUCAGAGACACCCUUUAUUGUCAAGGUGGUUCUGUUGCAAUUUUAAACAGAGCUUUUUCUUUCUUUGUUUCCUUUUUCUUUUUGGUUUUCCGAGACAGGGUUUCCCUGUGGCUUUGGAGGCUGUCCUGGAACUCGCUCUGUAGACUAGGGUGGUAAGUUCUGUAAAGGGACAAGGUUCAAGGAAGGUUGUGGCUCUGGGCAGAACUGGACCCCACCUGUGUUUUCUUCUGUCAACAUCCUGGGGGGAGAAAGGAGCAUUUCUAGAAAGACUGGGAGCAGUGGGGGAAUCUUUGCUGACAUCAAUUCAUUUCAUAUCAGCCAGCUUACUUUGAUUUGGUUUAACUAAUUUUGCUUUCUUUCUAAAUCCUAAAAGAUCUGGAAAAAGAGAAACAAUAUAAUUUUAAAAGUUAAACAAAGUCCAAGGGAUUCAUCAUCCAUAAGGCUUGCUUGGGUGAGGAUUUAACACACACACACACACACACACACACACACACACACACACACGUUAUCGGGAUGUGUACACACAAAUACCACAAACUCCAAAACUUCGCCAGAAAGGAAGGUCCCUGUGGAAAAUCUUCACUUACUAUGUCAUUACUAAGAUAUACUAGAUCAGAACAAGGGCGGGGUGGGAUAAGAAGGAUGAAUGAGAAGCAGGCUUUGGAAGCUUGUAAUAUGCCUCAUCGAUGACUAAUCCUCCAAAGAUGAGAAAAAAGCAAACUUUGCUUUCUGCCAAGGUAACAGGAACUGACUACUGUGGCAAGGCACCCUUGCUCCAGGAACCACGGCCUCAUAGGGUCCAGCACAGCUCAGGUCUUAGACAUCUACUCGCUUUUUCAAGAGGCAAGUGAAAAGAUGCUGAUGGUUAAGACACCAAGAAUCCCAGUUCCCAGUCGGCCAUGGAAUCCCCACAGUGAAAAACUCAUGCCUUGCAGUGGACAGUGAUGGACAGUCUAAUGUGAUACCUGUUGGCUAGAAAAGGGUGCCAGAGUCACUUGUGAUGCCAGGGAUGGAGCUUGCUUUAGGAAAUGGGGCAGCCAAGGCCUUGGGAGUUCCACAUUUUGCUUCCUCCAUCUCUCAACCCAGUGAAAGGAAGCCCAAGCCACACACCAGGUGGAAGUGUACGGAGACAGGUCCAUGCUCACUUGCUAUUAUAAAUCAGGGUGAUCCCAAGGAAGAAAACCAGGCUGUGUUCUGCAUGUUCUUGAUAUAGAAUGGGCCAAAUGCUAUACACGUCUGUGCUACCAUGACUGGCCUCUUUCACUCUUUUCUGGACUGGAGAUGUGGCUCAGCAGAAGAGCUGUGAAGAAGAGCACAGGAGAAGAAUGAGUCUCCAGUUGUUUCCGGGUGACCUCACACAAUGUGCACGAUGCUGAAAGGACGACAUAUUUAAAGAAGAUGGCUGCCCAGGAAAUGAGCUCAUGACCCUCACAGGCAAGUACACUUAACACCUAAUUGUUAAUCGGAUUUGUGAGGCUGCAUAUCUGAACUGAAUUCCAUUUAGGUAAUGUUAAUUCUGCCUUCAAAACAUAUUAAUCCAGGUGAAAUGCCACAAUUUAGUUUUAUAUUUAAGUGAUUCACAACUACUUCCUGGAGGAAUAAUUUUACUGUGUUUAUUUAAUCACCCGGGAAAGUUUCCCAAGUAUUUGGUAUUUCACAAGUCUCUGAAGACAAUGGGCAUCACCAUUACAAAAAUAAACAGAAAUUCAAAUAUAUGCUACUAUGAGAUUAAAGUUUAUGAUUAUUCAACGAGUUGCCAAUGAUCAAAACCAAAAUGCUUGCAUGGUCGGGGUUGGGGGGGGUGUCCUCACCUACUGGAUUAAAACAAUAAAAUCUCCAGCUGUUCUUAGGCUACGAGCUGUCGGUGUUGAUGUAUUUUAGAGUUUUAGGAAUGAAUAUUGAUUUUCUUUAAGCACCGGUUUUCCUGGAGAGUUACGGAUUCACAAUCAAUGGACACAUAGAAGAAUCUUAAUGCCCUGGAAAUGGGUGUUAAAUGGGUCAAUGUGGUACAUGGUCAGGGGGUGUCCUCAUCUGUCUUCACUCAGGCAGGAGGAACUACAUACAGCAAGGCUAUCUUGUCUAUCUUGUGGUAAGGAGAUGUGGAUUACUCGAUCACGAGCAAUGUACCCACCCAUCCUUAAUGCAAAUACAAAUCUCCUGAGAAUCUCUUUCAGGCUUCAGGCUGGGGUUGUAGAUCAGUGAUAGAGUGCUUAGUGUGUGCCAGGGUGGGGGGAGGGGAGAGGAAGG